AUUCCUUGGCUACACCAUCUCCAUACGGGAUUCCUAACCUGUGGUGAGUAAAGAAUGUCACUUUCUGACAGGCCUAGGAACUCCAUGCUCUUGGAACCUCAAGAAGAAAGAAGUUUACCCAACUCACAGGUAUUUGAAGGUACAAACCCAUGGCUGGGCUGGGAUUUAGAAAGGAAUCUUAUCUAAGAUUCCUUGUGGAAUAAAGUUCCAUCAAAGCAAAUCUAAAAGGCCUGUGUGGCUGGGCGCAGUGGCUCACGCCUGUAAUCCCAGCAGUUUGGGAGGCUGAGGUGAGUGGAUCACCUGAGGUCGGGAGGUCGAGAUCAGCCUGGCUAACAUGGUGAAACCGUGUCUCUACUAAAAAUACAAAAUUAGCUGGGCAUGAUGGCAGGCACCUGUAAUCCCAUCUACUUGGGAGGCUGAGGCAGGAAAAUUGUUUGAACCCAGGAGCCAGAGGUUUCAGUGAGCCAGGAUUGCACCACUGCACUCCAGCCUAGGUGACAGAAUGAGACUGGUCUCCAAAAAAAAAAAAAAAAAAAAAGCCUAUGUAAAAAUAGUUAUUCUUGUUGCACUUUAUGCAAAUAAUCAAACCAAGUUUAAAACUAAAGUCUAUUUUGCAAACAACUCAGUCCUAUCAUAAUUUGUUUUUAACAGAUAUGAGGACUAGAAGAGGGAAAAUAUGUUCCAAACUUAUCAUGAAUCUAUUAUUAACAUCUAGUCUCAUUAGUUGUUUUUAAGUUUUUGCCUACAUUUUAAACUAACCAUGCUUAUUCCUGUGAGCCAACCACCAAUCUCCAGCUGUGGCUCAACGGAGACAAAAAGGAAUGGGUAAUGUAAAAAUCUGGAUCAAUAUUCUAGUUCUAAGCAAUUAUCCUGCAGAUCCUGCUGGGUAAUAGGAAUA
rnacentral:lncRNA from 1 species